GACGAACGCUGGCGGCGUGCCUAAUACAUGCAAGUAGAACGCUGAAGAGAGGAGCUUACUCUUCUUGGAUGAGUUGCGAACGGGUGAGUAACGCGUAGGUAACCUGCCUUGUAGCGGGGGAUAACUAUUGGAAACGAUAGCUAAUACCGCAUAACAAUGGAUGACACAUGUCAUUUAUUUGAAAGGGGCAAUUGCUCCACUACAAGAUGGACCUGCGUUGUAUUAGCUAGUAGGUGAGGUAAUGGCUCACCUAGGCGACGAUACAUAGCCGACCUGAGAGGGUGAUCGGCCACACUGGGACUGAGACACGGCCCAGACUCCUACGGGAGGCAGCAGUAGGGAAGCUUCGGCAAUGGGGGCAACCCUGACCGAGCAACGCCGCGUGAGUGAAGAAGGGUUUCGGAUCGUAAAGCUCUGUUGUAAGUCAAGAACGGGUGUGAGAGUGGAAAGUUCACACUGUGACGGUAGCUUAACAGAAAGGGACGGCUAACUACGUG
rnacentral:rRNA from 1 species